CGCGCGGAGCCCUUCGGUCUCUUUGUGCGGGGCGGCCGAGGGCGAGCCGGAGCCCGGGGCGCCUCAGGGAGCCCCAUGACCGGGGCCAGGCCGGCGAUGGGGGCCCGUGCCCGGGGUGCGCCGGGGUCUGAGCCCCUGCGGGGGGGGAGCGGGCACUGUGAAGGCAGAGACAGGGGGUUGAGCCUCUGGGAGACCUGAAGUGUGAAGGCUGCAGCUGGCAGUGAUGGUGUAGUGAGGGCAGCUGUCUGUUCUGCUCCACUAUGCUUGCACUCUAGCAAAUAA